rnacentral:rRNA from 1 species
GAUGAACGCUGGCGGCGUGCCUAAUACAUGCAAGUCGAGCGAACGGACGAGAAGCUUGCUUCUCUGAUGUUAGCGGCGGACGGGUGAGUAACACGUGGAUAACCUACCUAUAAGACUGGGAUAACUUCGGGAAACCGGAGCUAAUACCGGAUAAUAUUUUGAACCGCAUGGUUCAAAAGUGAAAGACGGUCUUGCUGUCACUUAUAGAUGGAUCCGCGCUGCAUUAGCUAGUUGGUAAGGUAACGGCUUACCAAGGCAACGAUGCAUAGCCGACCUGAGAGGGUGAUUGGCCACACUGGAACUGAGACACGGUCCAGACUCCUACGGGAGGCAGCAGUAGGGAAUCUUCCGCAAUGGGCGAAAGCCUGACGGAGCAACGCCGCGUGAGUGAUGAAGGUCUCCGGAUCGUAAAACUCUGUUAUUAGGGAAGAACAUAUGUGUAAGUAACUGUGCACAUCUUGACGGUACCUAAUCAGAAAGCCACGGCUAACUACGUG